rnacentral:rRNA from 1 species
UACGAAGGGGGGCUAGCGUUGCUCGGAAUUAUUGGGCGUAAAGCGCGCGUAGGCGGCUACCUAAGUCGGAUGUGAAAGCCCCCUGGCUUAACUGGGGAAGUGCACCCGAAACUGAGUAGCUAGAGUGCGAAAGAGGGUCGCGGAAUUCCCGGUGUAGAGGUGAAAUUCGUAGAUAUCGGGAGGAACACCGGUGGCGAAGGCGGCGACCUGGGUCGACACUGACGCUGAGGCGCGAAAGCGUGGGGAGCAAACAGG